rnacentral:misc_RNA from 1 species
GAUGAAGAACGCAGCGAAAUGCGAUAAGUAGUGUGAAUUGCAGAAUUCAGUGAAUCAUCGAAUCUUUGAACGCACAUUGCGCCCCUUGGUAUUCCAUGGGGCAUGCCUGUUCGAGCGUCAUUUGUACCUUCAAGCUCUGCUUGGUGUUGGGUGUUUGUCUCGCCUCUGCGCGUAGACUCGCCUCAAAACAAUUGGCAGCCGGCGUAUUGAUUUCGGAGCGCAGUACAUCUCGCGCUUUGCACUCAUAACGACGACGUCCAAAAGUACAUUUUUACACUCUUGACCUCGGAUCAGGUAGGGAUACCCGCUGAACUUAAGCAUAUCAUAAGCGGAGGA